CCAAAUCUUGAAAUCCUUUUAGCCAUGGCUCUGUAAGCACUUUUAACUAAGUAUGUUAUACUAUUACUUGGAUGCCAAAUCAGUUUAUCUUCCCAAUUACCAAUGAAAAGUUGAAUGUUAAGAAUUGUUUCAACUUCAACCAUGUAAAAUUCAUUACAAGUGACAUUCUCUUUCUAUCUCCAUGUGGUAAAGUCAAUAAGUUUUGAGACUUUAGCCUCAAGAGCAAGUGUAUUGGUUCAGAAAGAACCUUGUAAGCACAUGCGAUGGGGAUCCAAUUGUCUUCUCUGACUCAAAUAUUGCUCCCAUUGCCAACUCUUUAUCUUGUUCCGAG
rnacentral:lncRNA from 1 species